CGAUAAGCCUUCGUGGUUCAGUCGUGCGGAGUGGUAGGAGAGCGUCGUGUGGCGAGUGAAGCGGCGGAGUGAUCCAGCCGUGGACGCUACACGAGUGAGAAUGCAGGCAUGAGUAGCGAAAGACGGGUGAGAAACCCGUCCUCCGAAAGACCAAGGGUUCCAGGGCCAGGUUAAUCCGCCCUGGGUAAGUCGGGACCUAAGGCGAGGCCGACAGGCGUAGUCGAUGGACAACGGGUUGAUAUUCCCGUACCGGCGAACAACCGCCCAAGCUAAUCCAGUGGUGCUAAGAGUCCUAACCCGUGACCAGCGGAUCCCUUCGGGGUGAUGCGGCGCGGUCUAACGCUCGACCCCAUGCUGGUGCGGUUAGCGUAUGAACAGGUGUGACGCAGGAAGGUAGCUGAGCCAGGCGAUGGUAUCCGUAAGGUGAACCUGGUGUAAGGAUGUAGGGCUGACGAUAGGCAAAUCCGUCGUCUGUACGCCUGAGAUCCGACGCGUACCCGUAAGGGGAAAUCAGUGAUCCUAUGCUGCCGAGAAAAGCAUCGACGCGAGGUUGCAGCCGCCCGUACCCGAAACCGACUCAGGUGGUCAGGUAGAGAAUACCAAGGAGAUCGAGAGAAUCGUGGUUAAGGAACUCGGCAAAAUGCCCCCGUAACUUCGGGAGAAGGGGUGCUCUGGUAGGGUGUAUAGCCCGAGAG
rnacentral:rRNA from 1 species